rnacentral:tRNA from 1 species
GGGCCGCUAGCUCAAUGGCAGAGCAACGGACUUUUAAUCCGUGGGUUCAGGGUUCGACCCCCUGGCGGCCCACC